rnacentral:miRNA from 1 species
UAUUGCAGAGUAUCUGAGAUGUGUGUGUGUGUGUGUGUGUGUAUAAUUACAUAUAUAUAGUAUACACACACACACACACACACACAUAUAUAUAUA